GAUGAAGAACGUAGCGAAAUGCGAUACGUAAUGUGAAUUGCAGAAUUCAGUGAAUCAUCGAAUCUUUGAACGCAUAUUGCGCUCUCUGGUAUUCCGGAGAGCAUGCUUGUUUGAGUAUCAGUAAACACCUCAACUCUUUUUUCUUUUUUGAAAUUGGAGCUGGACUUGAGUGAUCCCAACGCUUUCUUCCAAGAAAGUGUCGGGUUGCUUGAAAUGCAGGUGCAGCUGAACUUUUCUCUGAGCUAUAAGCAUAUCUAUUUAGUCUGCCUAAAAAACAGAUUAUUACCUUUGCUGCAGCUAACAUAAAGGAGACUAGUUCUUGUGCUGACUGAUGCAGGAUUCACAGAGACAGCUUCGGCUGACUUUGUAAACUCGAUCUCAAAUCAAGUAAGACUACCCGCUGAACUUAAGCAUAUCAAUAAGCGGAGGA
rnacentral:misc_RNA from 1 species